GUAUUGUAUUGCGUUAAACGCGGUAUGCAUUCCAUGAGACUUUACUACAGUGUGUGUGUAAAUACAUAGAACCACGGCAGGGGACAGAGCCCCCAGGCUGCAGAACUAUGGAGGGUGCACAGGUGUGAGUGGAUGUGUAAACAGAGUGUGCACGUGUCCCCACUUGAGGACCAGCAACAACUCGUGUCAACAAUUCGGUAAUGAUCCUUCCGCAGGUUCACCUACGGAAA
rnacentral:misc_RNA from 1 species